rnacentral:rRNA from 1 species
UACAGAGGUCUCAAGCGUUGUUCGGAUUCAUUGGGCGUAAAGGGUGCGUAGGUGGCGCCGUAAGUCGGGUGUGAAAUUUCGGAGCUUAACUCCGAAACUGCAUUUGAUACUGCGGUGCUUGAGGACUGGAGAGGAGACUGGAAUUAGGUGUAGCAGUGAAAUGCGUAGAGAUCAUAGGAAGACCAGUGGCGAAGGCGGGUCUCUGGAC